GGAGGAUCCGAGCGUUAUCCGGAUUUAUUGGGUUUAAAGGGAGCGUAGAUGGAUGUUUAAGUCAGUUGUGAAAGUUUGCGGCUCAACCGUAAAAUUGCAGUUGAUACUGGAUAUCUUGAGUGCAGUUGAGGCAGGCGGAAUUCGUGGUGUAGCGGUGAAAUGCCUAGAUAUCACGAAGAACUCCGAUUGCGAAGGCAGCCUGCUAAGCUGCAACUGACAUUGAGGCUCGAAAGUGUGGGUAUCAAACAGGAUUAGAUACCCUGGUAGUCCACACGGUAAACGAUGAAUACUAGGUGUUGGCAGGCAAGGCCUGUCGGUGCCGCAGCAAACGCAAUAAGUAUUCCACCUGGGGAGUACGUUCGCAAGAAUGAAACUCAA
rnacentral:rRNA from 1 species